CAGAAUCUCACCGUAGAUGAAGAUUACAUGUGUUUCCGGUGGUUGCUAAUGUGAACAAGGUAAUCAGAAGUCAGUCACACACUUGGCAGCAAAUCUAGUACGUUUUAGUAAAAAAAAAAAAAUGGUCCGUAAAUUGAAAUUUCACGAGCAGAAGCUCUUGAAAAAAGUUGAUUUUAUUAACUGGGAGGUCGACAAUAACUUGCACGAGGUGAAAGUGCUGCGAAAAUACCAUAUUGAGAAGAGGGAAGAUUAUACCAAAUACAACAAACUAAGUCGAAAUAUCAGAGAACUAGCCCAGAAAAUAAGGGACUUGGAUGAGAAAGAUGGUUUCAGAGCUCAAAGCACAAUGCUCCUUUUGGAAAAACUUUACAGUAUCGGUUUGAUCCCCACCAAACAGAAUCUCUCCCUUGCAAAUGAUGUCAGUGCAUCCUCAUUCUGCAGGAGACGACUUCCCACAAUCAUGCUGAAGCUGCGCAUGGCUCAGAACCUGAAGACCGCCAUAACCUUCAUUGAACAAGGCCAUAUUCGUGUUGGACCUGAGAUCGUCACUGAUCCUGCAUGUCUUGUAACAAGCUGGUGAUAAAGCACAUUUCGAUUUGAUUUCUGACACCAAUUUCAAUUUUCACAUGAAGUGUAUGGAAGAUUUUGUGACAUGGGUGGACUCAUCCAAGAUCAAACAGCAUGUCAUGAACUACAAUGAGGAGCGGGAUGACUUUGACCUUAUGAUCUAAAGCACUUGCAUCCAAGUAUGGGAUGGAAUUGACUUGCCACCAGACGUGAUGGUCUAUGCACCAAAAGCAGCUUUUACAUCAUUAUUGUAAAUAAAAUGCAUACCCUGUCUGACAUAAAUUAUCUUUAACAUGUUGAGUGAAUGAAUGAGAGAGUGAAAUGCAUUUAAGUGUGACAUUUGUAUUGCAUGAAGUAUUUUCAAUUAAUAAUAUGUAAACAGUAAACCUUACAAUUGUCAUAAUUUUUACUCCGAAACCAACGUUACUUUUUUACAAAUAAAUCAAAUAAAAAAUA